GAUCUGCUGACCCACCGACCACACUCUGAUCUACUGAAUCAGAAAGUUUGCUCAAGCCUCACCUUGCACUUCAGGUCUGCUACCUGCUGAGGUCUUUCUGGUUCCAACUUGGGGCUCAUUCCACUGUGCCUUUGAUCCCAGGAACAUCUGAUACAAAGAUCUUCUCAGGUGACCCGGUCCCAGUUCUAAGCUUCUACAAUCUAUGACAUUUCUUGUGACCCUGUCUGGAGGAGACUGCUGGGAGUUCCCUGGAAGGCUGCUGACUGGCUGGGCACUGAGCAAACCCGAGGGUGCCUCAGCAACCAGGCUCCAAUGCCAGGCAUCCAGGCAUGGCAGGCAGCCACUGGCUGCAGGUUAGUGUGACCCUCUCGGAGAUUCGUGCUGCCCUCCUGCCAGGGAAAUGGCUCAAGUUGUCACGACAGAGCAUGACCCUGAGAUAGAAGCUGGGGGUGGUGCCCCCGUGCAAUGAGCUUUGCUUGUUUGUGCAGGCUUCCUUGGAGCCUCACGUAGCCAGGCUCAGCUGCUCUGCCACCCUUUAGGCUGCUGGGUAGCCAGAGUAAGGAGAAAGGAAGAGAAUGAAAAAGGACGAUGUAUGGCAAGUUCUGAGGUUGUGGACAAAGGGAAGAGGGUGCCUGCUAAAAUGUUCCCCCCAAAGCAAAGAAAGCUUCAGAUGUUGAACUCCUAUGGUUUCUUGGGAUGACAGAAGGAUAUGGAAUAAGAGUAGUGCAGUGGGAAUCAGCAGUGUGGGUUCUAGAGUAGACUUCCUCCUUUUGAAUGAUCUAGACAAGUCUCUUUCCCUUUCUGGAUCUCAGUUUCCA